GAUGAAGAACGCAGCGAAAUGCGAUAAGUAGUAUGAAUUGCAGAAUUUAGUGAAUCAUCGAAUUUUUGAACGCAUAUUGCGCCCUAUAGUAUUCUGUGGGGCAUGCCUGUUCGAGCGUCAUUUAAAGAGGGGCUUCAUGCCCUACUUAGGAAUAGGUGCUUGUCUUGAAUUUGAGACUCGCCUUAAAUUUAUUGGCAGCUAAUUAUGUUUUCAUCGUUGCGCAGCAAAAUCGCGAAUGAGUGGAACUAUUUAGUAUCUAUAAGACUAAUUCAAUCUGUGACCUCGGAUCAGGUAGGAAUACCCGCUGAACUUAAGCAUAUCAAUAAGCGGAGGA
rnacentral:misc_RNA from 1 species